rnacentral:lncRNA from 1 species
CAAAAUUAGCCUAAAAAUACCUAGACUCUAAGACCCUAGAAAUAUAAUCAGCCAUUUCUAAAGAGGGACAAAAGCUGCAGCGCCAUUUUCCAUCACACAAACGACCCCCCCCCCCCCCCUUUUGAAGUUCAUCUUCCUCGACAGACCCCACCCCAAAAAUGACCCCUAAUCUUCAGCAACAUGGACGGAACAACAUACAGACCUAGACGCUUAAGAAGCUGAGCGCCGUUUCUUUUUUAUUGUAAAAAGACCAACAAAAAACAUUGAGCUCCUUCUUCUUCCAAAGAACUUGGAGCUGCUGCUUCUUCUUCAUUAAGUAAACCGAAUACACCAAAACAGACCCCAUCCUUUUCCAUAUCCUAACAGCAACAAACUCACCUAAAUUCAAAUUAAAAAACGGAAAAACAGAGAGAGGGUGAACGGGCAGAAACAAAGUGAGAAAUUUUGAUGACAAUAGUCAUCCACUUCAAUUAUCGCUGAAGAAUCGAGAUCUGUCGAAUUCUAGAUGCAUCUCCGUUUUUCUUGAAAAAGCGUCAUUUUUUGAUGAGUCGAGGUUUUUGGUCUGCGAUUCGAGUAUAGGCUUGAGGUGUUGCCGCUUGAUUCAAUUAAUAAAGGGAGAUUUCAUGUGAUUGAAAAUGGUUCUGGUACAGACUUGAGGUCCAUUUUUCUCUUCAAUAUUUUACCUAUUGAUUUUGUCACAUAUUUGUUUGAAUGGUAGAUUCAUUUGAUUUCCAUGAUUAUUUGCGAUAUAUUUUGAUCUUUGGGUGAAAUUUGCUCGAGUUUUGUGGCCGGAUUCGUUAAUUACGUGAAAGUGGCAAUACAAAUGUUUUAUUUUGCUGUGCGUGUGAUUUAAAGUAGGACAACUAGCAUUAUUCUUGUGUUACUGAUUCAACCAAAACGUGAUUUAGCUUGUAAUUAAAUAAGAGAUUCCAUCAUGAAAACUUGUUUUUGGAUUGAUUAUUCAGUUGUUUUUAAAGUGUAAGGCAAUGGGUUUGGAGUGAAAUUUUAAAGUGAUUCAUUUUUGAGUUUGGACUUAAUAUUAAGAGGAAAAAACUUAAUUGUCCAAUAUUUUAAAAGAUUUUACAAUGUCAUAGCAGUAGCACUUGAUUAACAUUUCUAGCAUUUACAUGUUUACAUUCAUAAUAAAACUUGUAAGAGUUAUCCCACCUGUGUUCCUAAAAUUUAGAAAAUUUCUCUGUAUUUAAAAUGCUUAACUGAUUUCACGCUCCACUCAUAAAUGACUUUUCCUUAUCUUUUAUCUCUAUUUUAAAAAAUGAUUUUGUCAUAGAUGAUAAUUUAAUGAUGAUUUUGUCAUAGACGACCAUUUUAUCUUGUUAUAUUACACGUAGAAAAGCCUUUAGGCACGUGUUAAAAAAUACAAUUGUGAUUGUGUAUACGUUCGCGUGACAUAAUCGCGAUUCUAAAACCAAUUCAGAGUAUGCGUUCGCGCAACUUCGGUCAAACUUUCUUAAUAAUAAAAUUAUUUUAAUAGGCCACCAAUUUAAAUUUAUUUUAUAUAGUCUGAGGUGUGCCAUCCAUAAUUUAAUCAUUCAUGGCCCUCAUAUUAAUUUCAUAACCCAUUUAUAAAAAUGACAAAUGCUCGUAGUUGCUUUAUGUCCGUCUAAUAUACCAUCAUGAUUGCGUACACAUUCGCGUAACAUAAUUACGAUUCUAAAAACAAUACCAGAGUAUGCAUUCGUGCAACUUUGGCCAAACUUUUCUUAAUAAUAAUAAAGCGUUGUUAAUUGUGGACACGUACACGUGACAUAAUUUUUUGAUGCGCCAAACAAAUGGGUACACGUAUGCGUGACUUGUUUUUAAGAUAAUUUCUCAAUUAAAAAAGGCAAAUGCACAUAGGUUCUAAAAGUAAGUAAUUAGACAAUUGGAUUCAACCAAGUAUAAUCAAAGCGACCGUGCUAAAAUCACGGAACCCGGGAAUAUCUAACACCUUCUCCCGGGUUAAUAGAAUUCCUUACCCGGAUUUCUAUGUUCGCAGACCGUAAAUUGAGUCAACUUCCUCGAUUCGGGAUUUUAACCGGUGACUUGGGACACCAUAAAUUAUCCCAAAUGGCGACUCUGAUUUUAAUUUAAAUAAUUUCGUUUCGACUAUCACUUAAAUUGAAAAAAACUCCCUUAUAUCCCUUCCGGGGUAGGAAAAAGGAGGUGUGACAAUUGAGAUGGCCCUGCUGGAACGGUCUGGGCCGGAACCUCAUCAUUGAACUCCACCUGAGGUUUCGACGUUGGUGCUACUGCUCGAGCUCUGGGAUGAGCUCUGCCCCUACCUCGGCCUCUAGGGGGCUCGGGCUGCUGAUUAGCUGAUGAAGCGGUAUGUGUUCUAGCCAUCUGCGAAAGAACAGAGUAGAGAGUUCAAUUAGCGUUGAGAGAUCAAACUGCACGACAGUGAUGAAUAGAAGUGAAAUUAUUCCUAACUCUAUAGCCUCUAGGGGAUAAGCACAGAUAUCUCUGUACCUAUCCCUAAAACUCUACCAAGGUUAUCCAUGAAUUGUGAGACCUGAGCAACCUAGAGCUCUGAUACCAACUUGUCACGACCCGAAUUUCCCACCAUCGGGACCGUGAUGGCGCCUAACAUUGUACUCUCUAGGCAAGCCAAUAUUUCAGAAUGUCCUACCUUUUUUCUUUAUUUCUCAAAUAUUUAGGACUUAAGAAAAUAAACCAACGGAAUAAAUGCGAAAGAAAACAGUUUAAAAGCUUGACUUUAUGCAAUAACGAAAACCGAAGUAAAAUCCACCCAGGACUGGUAUCACAACUCACGAACUGUCUACGAAUACUACAAAUAAUGGUCUGAAUGAAAUGUUUACAUCUGUCUCGAAAGUAGAUAAAACAGAAAAUAAAAUAGGAUAGAAGGGGACGCCAGGGCCUGGAACGCCUGUAGAACUACCUUGGGUCUCCCGUACGCAGUGAUAGCAACCAACCUCACGAUCAGUCACUAGCUCCAAAAUCUACAUAGAAAGUGCAGAGUGUAGUAUUAGUACAACCGACCCCAUGUACUGGUAAGUGCCGAGCUUAACCUCGACGAAGUAGUGACGAGGCUACGGCGGGGCAUACAACAUAUAUAACCUGCAACAGUUUAUGCUAAACAGAAAAGGAAAUACAACAUGUAAUAAAGCAAUAAUUGGCAUUAAGUAAAUCCGGAACCCAACUGCUCUACUAGUAUUCAGCUAUAACCAAUCCUUAAGGGUGUUUUAAUAUCACAAUAAUAAACCUCAACGGAUAUGGACACAUAACAACAACUGAUGUUGCACGCAUCCCAAUCCCAUCAUAUAAUCAACAACAGUAUCAAUAUUCACCCUUAUUCCUCCUUGUUGCGGCGUGCAACCUGAUCCUACAUAUCCACCCUUAUUACUCCUCAACACAUAUCACCCUUAUUCCUCCUGUUGUAGCAUGCAAUCCGAUCCUACCUAUCCACCCUUAUUACUCCUUGUUGCAUUAUGCAACCCGAUCCCACCAGAGAAUCACAUUCUCUCUUAUUCCUCCCAUUGCAGCAUGCAACCCGAUCCCAAUAUAUAAAUCAACACCAAUCACAAAAAUAAAGACAAGUGUUUCACAGAUUAAUUAAAAUCAUCCAUUGUACUUAUACCUCAAUUCACACAACGGAAUAUCACUACAAUUAUGAAAAUUCACCAGUGUAAACUACUCAGCGAGACCAACCAAGGUGUACCAUAAGGAACCAACAAACCAAUAUAAGCCAACAAUGUAAUAAAGCGAAACCAUGAAACAAUUAGAUACUUCCAUAAAGAGAGCAAUAGUUAAUAUGAAGCAAUUAGACAUGGAAACAUUUAUGAGCAAGUAACAAUUAAGGCAUGGAAACAGUUAUAAACAGGUAACAAUUAAGACAAGAAAUAGUAUACUAGGAAACGAGGAAGGGAACAAACUAAAAAUGGAAAUUUUGGUGGCACAUAGAUACUCGUCACCACACCUAUAAUCCACACACAUGAAUUUUCACAUAGCAUAUAAGUCGGGGAUUCCUAUUCCCUCAAGUCAAGGUUAAACCAAACACUUACCUCAAGCCAAUGGGUAAUUCAACACUCAAUCACUUCUUUACCUCUCGAUUCCACUACUAAUUCACGCGUAUCUAGUCAUAAUUAACUCGAUAACAUCAAUAAGUGCUAAAUAAUUCAACUCAAAUGCAUAAUUAAAGGUUCUCUACCAUUUUCCCUAAAAAGUCAAAAAUCGAACCCGGGCCAACUUGGUCAAAACUCGAAGUUCGGACCAAAACUCGAUUACUCAUUCACCUCCGAUCCCGGAUAUGCAAUUGGUUUUGGAAUCCGACCUCAAUUUGAGGUCCAAAUCUCCAAAAUUUGAAAAUCCUAAUUUCUACCCAAGAACACCCAAUGUUUCAUGAAAACCCUUAGAUUUUGAGAUGAAAUCAUGUAAAAAGAUGAAUUAGAUUGAAGAAGAGGAAUUAGAAAUCACUUACCUAUGAUUUGGAGAGGUUUGGGUCUUUGAAAAACCACCUAGGGAUGUUUAGGGUUCGAAAUUUUUAAAAAUGAAGUGAAAAUCCCGUCUAAAAGAUGUUUUGAUCAGGUGUAGAUGUCGCAAUUAUGACAGGAGCUUCGCAAUUGAGAAGCUCGCAAAUGCGAGACAGGCUUCGUAAUUGCGAACCUGUUGCAUGUCUGGUCCUCUCGCAAUUGCGAGCAUUUUAUCGCAAUUACGAUGACUGGCCCUUCCCUGUUGACUUCGCAAUUGCGAAGGGAGGUUCACAAAUGCAAACAAGGAAGGCCUGGGCUUCUUCGCAAUUGCGAUAAAGCCCUCACAAUUGUCAAGCCUGUUAGGCUCGCAAUUGUGAAGCCUGACCUCACAAUUGCGAGAUCAGAGCCUGCAACAAUAUCAGAUGCAACAACUAAUUUUCUCUAAGUCCCAAAACACUUUGUGGCCUAUCGAAAACUCACCCGAGCCCUUGGGCUCCAAACCAAACAUGCACGCAAGUCUAAAAAUAUCAUACAAACUUUCUCGUAUGAACAAAUCAUCAAAAUAACAUCAACAACUACGAAUUUAAUCUCAAAUUCAUGAAAUUCAUAAGAUAGUUCAAAAUUACUAUUUUCUCAACCAAGGGUCCGAUUUAUAUCAAAUAAACUCCGAUUCUCACCAAAUUUAACAGAUACGACUUAAAUAUUAUAUUAAACCUGUACAGGGCUCCAAAACCAAAAAACAGGCCAAAUACCAUCAAGAUCACACACCAUUUCAUUUCUAAAAGUCCUUAUAUUUUCCAGCAAAUAAUUUUCUUAAAAAUUCUUUUCUUAGGCUAGGGACCUCGGAAUUCGAUUCCGAGCAUACUCUUAAGUCCCAUAUUUUACUACUGACCCUCCGGAACCGUUGGAACACGGGUCCGGGUCCGUUUACCCAAAAUGUUUACCGAGAUCAACUAAAAUCAUCUUUUAAAGCCAUAAAUCAUUAUUUCUCAAAUUUUUCAUACAAAAGCUUUCCUGUAUCGCACCCGAACUACGCAUGCAAAUCAAGAAGAGAUAAAAGAAGGUUUUCAAGGCCUCAGAAUACGAAAAUGAGUUCUAAAACAAAAGAUGACUUUUUGGGUCAUCACAACAAUAGAGUGAGAGUCAGUCUUACCUACCUUGCCAACAACAAUGAUCUCACCUUUUUUUCCCAUUUCCGAAGGAGACAUUACCUCAUUUAAGAUCAACAAGUGAAAGGAACUGGUUCUUUCUUCCUGUCAUAUGCUUUGAACAGACGCUAUUCAUGUACUAUAUUUGGCUGCUCCCUUUCACUUGGACCUACAAAAGGAAAUUGGGGGUUAGUCUUAGGAACCCAAACUAGUUUGGGUCCCUUUAUAUAGGUAAAAGGGUAAAUCAAAUUCUUUUUAGCCUAACUUGGCAGCCUAUUUUUCCCUUGAACAAAUUCUUUGUUCUUCUGAAUAGCCUUUUCUUUUGCAGUAUAUUCACUUUUAUAGUGACCAGUUUUACCACAGUAUGUGCAAAUAUUAUUCUUAGGAAGUGUGAGGUACUUGCUUUUGGGAUCCCACUUAGGUGCAGGGUUCCCAAAGCCAAGUCCUCUUUUGUUGCUACUAUGGUAUUCAUGUAUCCAUGAAAGUGCAUUGGAGAACCUAUUCCAUUUACAGGUUCUGUCUAGAACAUGCUUGACCUUGCUUAGAUCCUCUUAUGUGCUCAUCUCUUUUGUACAACUUAUCUUUCAUCUUCUGUAAUGACCUGACCGGUCGUUUUGAGCUCUAGCACAUCGUUCAGUGGUUUGAGGCCAUAAGCAGCAUCACUUUAGGUAUUAUGACUUGUGUGUAUAGUCGGAAUUUCAUUUCGGGUAGUUCGGAGUUGAUUUGGAAAGAGAAUUCUCAUUUCGGAAGCCCUAAGUUGAAAGAAUUGACUAAGAUUGGAUUUCAGAGUCAACGACCUCGGAAUCGGGAUUUGAAGGUUCCAGUAGUUUCCUAAGAUUAUUUCGGACUUAGUCGUAUGUCCUGAUCGGGUUUUGGAAGACCCGGGAAUAUUUUGGCGCCUAUUGUGGAAGUUAGCAUUUUGGAAGAAAUUUCAUAAGUUUGGGUUGAAGUGCAUUUCAGUAUUAUCGAUGUCCGUUUGGAAUUCCGAGUCUAGGAGUAGCUCCGUAUGGUGAUUCUGGAGUUGGGAGCGUGAUCGAAAGUGAAUUCGGAGGUCUGUAGCUCAUUUGGAGUCAUUUGGCUAAAGAUAGAAAUUCUAAGGUUUUUGAGAAAUUUGACCAAGAGUUGACUUUUUGAUAUCGGGGUCGGAUUCCGAUUCCAGAAGUUGGAGUAGGUCUGUAAUAUCAAAUAUUACUUGUGUGCAAAAUUUGAGGUCAAUCGUAUAUGAUUUGAUAGGUUUCGGCAUCAAAUAUAUAAGUUUGAAAUUCUAAAGUUCAUAAAGCUUGGAUUGGAGGUUGAUGCAUGGUUUUAGCAUUAUUUGUUAUGAUUUGAGGCCUCGAACAAGUCCAUAAUGUGUUUUGGGACUGGUAGGUAUGAUUGGUUGGGAUCCCGGGGGCCUCGGGUGGAUUCCGGGUGGUUAACGGAUCGAGAAUGGAAUUUUUGAAAGGCUGAAGUUGCUGGUAUAACCGCACCUGCGAGAGUUGGGUCGCAAGUGCGGAGCCGCAGAAGCGGCCAAAGGAGCCGAAGAUGUGGUUUGGGCCAAAAGUAAAGGGGACCGCAGAUGUGGUCGAGCAGCCGCAGAAGCGGUAUCGCACCUGCGGCAGUUGAGUCGCACAAGCGGAAGGGAGUGCCUGGUGAGAUAUCCACAGAAGCGGUCCAGGGACCACAGGUGCGGAAGUGCUGGAGGCAGAAUGGUUCUUUUAAAAUCGGGAUUUGGCCAUUUUCUCUCAUAUUUUCUUGGCUUGGGUGAUUCUUGGAGAGUUUCAAGAAGGUAUUUUCAUCAUCAAUGAUAAGGUAAGCUAAUACCACAUAUCUUGAGUUAAAUAUAUAGAUUAUGUAUGGAUUUUAGCAUGUAAAUUUGUAGAACACUUGGGGUUUGAGGGAAAACCUAGAAAAUUGAUAUUCUUGGAAUUUGACCACGAUUUUGGGUAUGAAAUUGAGAGUAAAUUAUAUAUUUGAGAUCGUGAGGCUAUGUGUAAACUUUAUCUUCAAAAAAAUUCGAAAUCUGGGCAUGUGGGCCCGAGGCAAUUUUGUCAAAUUUUCGACCUUGGUUAGGGAUUGUUAUAAAUUGGAUUGUAAUGAGUGAUUUAACACAUAUUAAUGGAUUCGCAUAAUUAUUAGCUAGUUUUGGAGAAUUGUGCAUCGAUUCGAGUCUUCGAAAGAGCGUGAAAUGCCGGUUAUCAAUCUUCGGAGCGAGGUGAGUCUCCUUUCUGACCUUAUAAGAGGGAAUUGUCCCCAUAGGUGAGUUAAUUGGUUAUGUGCUCCUAUUUGUAGGGGAUACGUACGCAUGAGGGGUGACGAGAGUCCGUGCGUAGCUACUAUUAUGCUAUUGUCCGGGUAGUCUAGGACCCAAAAGCAUGCUGUACUUGGAAAUAUUUGUAACCCUAUCGACGGUUUGAAUUACUUAAAUCACAUCGUAUUAGUAAGUGAAUUUCUAAAAGAUUGAGCUUCAUUUUCUUAAAUUGUAAAAAGAGAAUUGGAUUUUCCUUAGAUAGUCAUUCCCUAAUGAAGUCUUGAUUAAUUGUUUGAAUAUAUGAUUCUAGGUGUACCUGCGUCGCAUGUAUGAUUCACAAGCAUGGUGUUUGUUUAUUUUAUGUUGGCCGCAUUGCAUGAAUGAUUCAUGAGUGGAGUAAUAGAUGUAUCUAUGGUCCGCGCCAUUCGACACUCGGCAGUGCACAUUUUACAUUUAUGUUGGAUCGGGCCGUACGACCUCGACAUGCUAUGUACAUGCUUGUAUUGUUACUUGGGAUUUACAAAUGUUCUCAUUUGCCUUUCCUAGCCGGAGAUAAAUUGAUAAAGAUAAUGAAAAGUAAAUUCUUUGGAAAUUCAUUAUUAUUUGGGAAGUUGUUUACCUGCUAUCUGGCUUUAUGAAUUAUAAUUUUUGUUUUAAUAAAAUUUCAUGAUCUCCUCACAUUUUUACUAGUAAGUGUCGAAGUCGACCUCUCGUCUCUACUUCUUCGAGAUUAGACGAGAUACUCAUUGUGUACACGAUGUUUUUGUACUCAUACUAUACUUGCCGUGCAUUUUUGUUGCACAAGUUCAUAUGUGGCUAGUGGCUUAGUGGCAUAGCAGCAUGGUUAAUAUGAAGACUUAGAUGAGUUGCAUUUAUCGAGACGUCCGUAGCCAGCAGAGUCUCCUUCAGAGUAUUGUACUGUAUUUUCAUUUCUGUCCACUUAUAUUCCGGACAGUUACUGUAUUUUAUUUCAUUCCCUAAAAAUUGCUCAUGUACUUGUGACACCGGGUUCUGGGAUGAUCACGAGAUUUUUCAGUAGUUAAAUUUUGUAAAGACACCCUCUUUUAUCCAGUGGAGUUUAUUAUUUAUUAUUUAUUUGUUUAAAGGAUAUGAUUUCAAAAUAAUUUAAAAUUAGAGAUUGCUAGUGAAUUGUAGUUGGCUUUCCUGACAGAGGUGUCCGGUGCCAUCACGACCCUCAGUGGAAUUUGGGUCGUGACAUUUUCCCUACAUUUUCUUAUAAAGUGAGUUAUGUGUGAUUAGAUGUCUUUUUACCUGUUCCUAAUUUAAAUUUCAGAUUUUCAAAUCUAAAUUCUAGGAUAGUUGUGUCAAGUUCAUGAACUUGGUUCUUCAACACAACAUUUUCACUUUCAGUUUCACUAGCCUUAUGUUCCUGGUUUUUGCACUUAGCUUUUAAAGCUACACACUCUUUUGACAGUUGUUCCUUUUCAAUGUUUACACCGUUAGAUUCAUCCAUUAGCUCGAUGAGCAACUUUGAUAACCUUUUCUUAUACAAAAAAUUAAUCUUGUCUUUGAGAUAAAUGAUAAGUGGGGAUUUUGACUACUUAUUAGCGCCUUUUAGCUUUCAUUUUAGUCCAAAAGAAUUUAAUUAUGUUCCCAAAAACUGAUGAAAUAUUCUUAAUGAAGGAAUAUUGGAAAAUGAUCCCCCAAGAUGAAAUCCAACUCAAAAAGGAGCGAUCUGAACUCGAAGAAAAAAACAGGCACAUAAGCUCAACGUGCAGACCGUAGAUUGUGAAGAAACUCAAAGCAGAGACAUGUGCAAAGUGCGGUCUGCACAGCCGCAGAAACUGGGCAAGAG